rnacentral:lncRNA from 1 species
AUGCCGGGAGUGGCAGUGGCCCCCCGCGCCGCAGCCGGCAUCGCGGCGGGACCCGGAGCCCGGAGUUCGGGUGGGUAACCCGAGCUCUCCAAGCUCUUGAAGCCGCGAGGGUGGCUUAGCUUCGGUGUUUUGGCUGAGAACACCCUUAAAGCUUAAAAUAAAACCUGCCUCUGGGGUGCAGGGGAGGAGAGAGGAGGACGCGAAUCACACCCGCUGCUGCGCGCCAGCCCGCCCCGUCUGUACAAUGGGAUGCUCGGGACUCGGACGGGAGGAUCCAGUGACUGCGAGCCCCGCAUUCGCCCGAUCCCAGCCUCACACCCCCAGCCAGCCCCCAGAGACCCUCCCACACUUACGAAGGAAAUGCAUGCGGCCAGGAGGAGAAUCCGCACCAGGAGCAGGGAGCUCUACCCAGGAAAAAGAAGAAAAGGACAGAUUCAUUUGGGGUUCAGCCUCAUGCCCCCCACACCCAAGACUUUGUGGCUAAGAGAAUCAGGCCACCUUGAGGUUCAUCAAGUUCAUCCCAUUAAAACCUCCCAAAACUCUGGA